rnacentral:rRNA from 1 species
AUGUCUGAAUUUUGUCUCAUGCCUAAGGAUAUCUAUGAUUCUUUGAAUCUUUGGGGACUCCUUAUGUGUGAAGAGAAAACAACUCUUGCCAAUAAUGCCACCAUAUCUCCUAUUGGGGUAGCGGAGGGAGUGUUUACAAAAAUAUUAGGGAUAACUAUAUCUACUGAUUAUCUUGUUAUUGAAUGUGUAGGAAAAGGACAAAUCACUCUUGGAAGGUCCUUGCUAAAGCUCAUGGGAGCAAAACUGUAUUUGGGAAAAGGGACUAUGGUUUUCACCUCCCCACCGGGAGGAUAUCAUUCUUUCCCAAUAAAGAAAGAUAAUAAGAAGAAGAAUAAGAAGAGAAGGCAUAGAAACCGUGGUUUAAUUGAUGUUGAUGCUUCUUCAUUUGAAAACACUUGA